rnacentral:rRNA from 1 species
GUCUCUUUGUAUAACAUAAAUAAAGAGUUGGGCCUGCUCGGUGAAUAUUUUUUUUAACAGCUGCGGUAUUUUAACUGUACUAAGGUAGCAUAAUAAUUUGCCUUAUAAUUUGAGGCUAGAAUGAAUGGUUUGACGAAGGUUAAGCUGUCUCCAUUUUAUUUUUUAGAAUUUAAUUUUUAAAGUGAAAAAGCUUAAAUUUUUUAAAGGGACGAGAAGACCCUAAUGAGCUUGUAAUUUUAUUAUUAUUGUUUAAUAUAUUUAAAUAGUAAUAUAUAAAUUUUAAUUGGGGUGAUUGAGGAAUAAAUUGUGGUAGUAACUUCCUUAAACUUAAUAUAGAUGUAUCAAGUAACCAAUAAUAUAUUGCUUAUAAUAUAGUUACCAUAGGGAUAACAGCGUAAUUUGUUUAGAGAGUUCUUAUUGAAAAACAAGAUUGCGACCUCGAUGUUGGAUUAAAGUAACCUUAAGGUGCAGAAGCUUUAAUAGGUAAAUCUGUUCGAUUUUUAAUACUUUACA